rnacentral:rRNA from 1 species
GACGAACGCUGGCGGCGUGCUUAACACAUGCAAGUCGAACGGAAAGGCCCUGCUUUUGUGGGGUGCUCGAGUGGCGAACGGGUGAGUAACACGUGAGUAACCUGCCCUUGACUUUGGGAUAACUUCAGGAAACUGGGGCUAAUACCGGAUAGGAGCUCCUGCUGCAUGGUGGGGGUUGGAAAGUUUCGGCCGUUGGGGAUGGACUCGCGGCUUAUCAGCUUGUUGGUGGGGUAGUGGCUUACCAAGGCUUUGACGGGUAGCCGGCCUGAGAGGGUGACCGGCCACAUUGGGACUGAGAUACGGCCCAGACUCCUACGGGAGGCAGCAGUGGGGAAUAUUGCACAAUGGACGGAAGCCUGAUGCAGCAACGCCGCGUGCGGGAUGACGGCCUUCGGGUUGUAAACCGCUUUCGCCUGUGACGAAGCGUGAGUGACGGUAAUGGGUAAAGAAGCACCGGCUAACUACGUG